rnacentral:lncRNA from 1 species
AUCGCUACUUGCCCACUCUAUUUUUUUUCUCUCGCAGAAAACAUUUCACACGUAAACUACAAUGCGAAAAUCGCAACAGACGAAACACUAGACAAGACUCGGCCGUGUCUGUUUACAUUAUUCGUUUUCUGUGGUUUUCGCGCUGCUCUUCGAAGUAUGAAAUAUUAACAUGCCUAGAAUAACUCACCUAAGCCAAAUAUUCCGUUGCUACUUAAAAGCUCACGCAAAAUAAUUAUUGGCAAUGCUUCCACUUUGUCCUACGAAGAAGCACUUUCGUCACGUUUAGCCCCUUCAUAAUAGUAAUAACGCACCAAAAAAAAAAAAAAUCGAUACUUUUCUCAGUGCGAUCCACUACAUCGGUGCAAACAUAUCACUUCGCCACUGAUUACGGGUUGAAAUAAUUCAGAACUGCUGUUUUAACUGCGCUAUUUGUUGUACAUGCUCCUUUGUUAGAUAUA